rnacentral:piRNA from 1 species
UGUCUGACUGAAGGACCAGGUGCUGUCUGU